AUCAAUGUGUGAUUACCCACACUGCAUUGCUCCUGUUUUCACAAGCCAACCAUUGAAUGACAUUGCAGACCAUGACUCAUCCAGGGAUGCCGUUAACCUUGAUGCCGAUGUGAAGCUCAGUGGGCUUCCCGGGGCCUCAGGGAGGUUCUGGUGAUUCCUCUCUGUCCUUGUGUUAUUCACUCAGGCCGUCUCAAGUGUUUAACAGUGGAGGGCCAUGUAGAAAAGAGGUUGUCCAUGUUUAUUAUGAGCUUCUGAUUCCACUGUUUUUUUAUUUUUUUAUUUUAAUAAAUAAUGUUUCCUCAUGUCCUCUGCGAAGCUCCACAGAUGUUUGAGGUUCAAGAACAUUAAUAAAAAGUAAUUCCCUGCGAU
ensembl:lncRNA